rnacentral:rRNA from 1 species
AGCUAAUACCGGAUACGCCCUUUUGGGGAAAGGUUUACUGCCGAAGGAUCGGCCCGCGUCUGAUUAGCUUGUUGGUGGGGUAACGGCCUACCAAGGCGACGAUCAGUAGCUGGUCUGAGAGGAUGAUCAGCCACACUGGGACUGAGACACGGCCCAGACUCCUACGGGAGGCAGCAGUGGGGAAUAUUGCACAAUGGGCGGAAGCCUGAUGCAGCAACGCCGCGUGCGGGAUGACGGCCUUCGGGUUGUAAACCGCUUUCGCCUGUGACGAAGCGUGAGUGACGGUAAUGGGUAAAGAAGCACCGGCUAACUACGUGCCAGCAGCCGCGGUGAUACGUAGGGUGCGAGCGUUGUCCGGAUUUAUUGGGCGUAAAGGGCUCGUAGGUGGUUGAUCGCGUCGGAAGUGUAAUCUUGGGGCUUAACCCUGAGCGUGCUUUCGAUACGGGUUGACUUGAGGAAGGUAGGGGAGAAUGGAAUUCCUGGUGGAGCGGUGGAAUGCGCAGAUAUCAGGAGGAACACCAGUGGCGAAGGCGGUUCUCUGGGCCUUUCCUGACGCUGAGGAGCGAAAGCGUGGGGAGCGAACAGGCUUAGAUACCCUGGUAGUCCACGCUGUAAACGGUGGGUACUAGGUGUGGGGUCCAUUCCACGGGUUCCGUGCCGUAGCUAACGCUUUAAGUACCCCGCCUGGGGAGUACGGCCGCAAGGUUAAAACUCAAAUGAAUUGACGGGGGCCCGCACAAGCGGUGGAGCAUGUGGUUUAAUUCGAUGCAACGCGAAGAACCUUACCAAGGCUUGACAUAUACUGGACCGCAUCAGAGAUGGUGUUUCCCUUCGGGGCUGGUAUACAGGUGGUGC